GGACGCGAGUACAAAGGGUCGCGAACCCGCGAGGGGGAGCCAAUCCCAAAAAGCCGCUCUCAGUUCGGAUUGCAGGCUGCAACUCGCCUGCAUGAAGCCGGAAUCGCUAGUAAUCGCGGAUCAGCAUGCCGCGGUGAAUACGUUCCCGGGCCUU
rnacentral:rRNA from 1 species